rnacentral:tRNA from 1 species
GGUUAGAUGGCUGAAAUAUUAGGUGAUAGAUUGUAAAUCUAUUUAUGAGGUUUAACCUCUCUUACCA